CUUGAAAAUGGAAAAUUGCCAACUACAAACUCAAGGCACAAUGUGAGAAUCAGAAAGAUGCACAUCAACAUGUGAAUAAGCCCUAGUUCUAAUAGCUGAAGAGCAGACAGUGUGGAAAAUCAAGCUAAUGGCACUGCAGUACCUGGAGUACAUCUCUUGAAGAGAUAGCUGUGCUGAAAUAGAAAACCAAACUAUAAAUGGAAGCAUUCCAAGAAGUAAAAAUUGUGCUAAAUACAAAGUUGGAAUAUAGAAUUACCACAACAUGGGAGAGUUUAUCAGCACUGCACAGGCCUGUGACUCUCAAGUUUAAACCUGGGGUUCAAGACUUAUUGAUGGAAGUGAAUACUCCUUUCUGUGAUGUUCCCCAGCACUGCCAGGGGAAGCAGGACAGCCUUUUGAUGAACUCUUGGAGUAG
rnacentral:lncRNA from 1 species